AAAGAAUUACGAUUGUUGGGCAACACAGGUAGACUUAGAGACAUAUAGUCAAAACUGGGAAGAUAUAGCCUGAUCAACUAUAUUAUCCGAGGGUUGACUAGCAUGUGCCUAAGUGUAGUUGUGAGGUUGCAACAAGUCUAAAAUCUUACCAACAAUACCACAAUGAGAACAAUAGAACAUAAACCUAAAAUACUAUAGGGGUAUUUGGUGUUACUAUAAGUACUUUAUACUUGAGAUCUAAAAAGGAUCUUCAUUACUAAGUUGAUAGUUGCUAAGUGGAUACACUAAGGCUAUAUGUAACUAGGAUGUAAUAGACUUAGAAUUUGUGAAAAUUUUGCUUUACCCCUAUUCUUUGUGAAUUUGAAGUUAAGAUCACUUAUUCGAAGGCCUAUCCUGUUUUGAUUACUUAUAAAUGGUAUGCACUUCACAAAUAGUGAUGUAACUAAUGAAGAUUUUCUAAAUAAUUAUCUACAUAGUUCAUCCAAUAAUUAUUUUCUUACCCCAAUUCUCGCGUAGAUAACAUGGCUGGACUCCAUCCCCACGACAAUCCGUACCUUCCGAACAAAGUCAUUGCUAGAUGGUUUGGAGAAGAACCCGAGAAUGAUCAUCCUAUUCCUUUGAAUGAUCACCAUGAUGAAGACCGUUCGGAUGGUGUUAAAUCCGAACCCGAGGUUGAGAACCUACCCCAGGCAGCUCCCUUUCCAAAUCCUAACCCUCGUCCGGCUUUUCAUGGCCCGACGCGUUAGUGGGUGGAAUGCUUGGAAACAUGGAGCCAAGGACAAGAUCAGCCCAUGCCAUUUAAUGGUGACCGAAGCUUUUAUGACCUGAGCAAUGGGGGCUCAGCAGACAGAAUCUUGCCAAUCCUAGUCCGCAGAGUGGCUCGAAAUGAGAUUCAAGGCAGGACAGCCCUACAUCAGAUCACAGAAGUUGUCGCCAAUGUGACAAUGCAUACCCUCCGCACCAUUCGUCUGGAAGAUGCUCGUGAGAGAUCGGAGAGAGACCAUGAAACCCUGCUACAAGCACUGGCUGAAUCACGAGUCGAAGUCAUAGAACUCCGAGUACACCAGAGGGUGUACGAAAGACACCUACUUGAUAUGGAACGCUAACUGGCUGAACUGAGAGUUCACCAGAGGGAUGACUGUCGCCAGUAGUAGAUGCUUUACUUUAUUUUCCUUGUUAAAAGGAAUCGUUUUCUGUCUAUGCCCGAUGUGGCAUUUUCUAUGAAACUAUCUUGUACUGUAAGUACUUUAGUUAGGUCUUUAUGCUGUCAAGGACCUUCUACUCUGGAUAUGAUGUAAGACCUUUUACAGGAUCAUUUUUCCCAAACUUUUACAUCAUGAAUAUCAAAGAUAUUGACAUUCGGCUAACUUCUGUGUCAUUCUUUAUUCAAAUAGUUUCAUCAUGCUAUCAUGGGAGUUUAUUUGAAACCCACUCUAGUUGAGUUAUUGAACUAGGGUAUUCUAGCUCAGGAAUAAUUCCUGAUUCUUCUUUAAAAGUUGGAUCAUGUUAUUUACCAGAUGACGGUACCCUGUUUUAGACUUCAAGCGUCAUAAGGCCAUACUACGAACAUACUUCCAUUCUUUACUAGGACUGCAUCAUAGGGAUGUAGGUCGAACCUUUGCAAACAUACUUCCAAUCCGAACUAGGACUGCAUCAUAGGGAUGUAGGUCAAACUUUCGAGAACAUACUCUUACUCUUCGAUUGAACGAGCAAAGUACAUCUAGGGUCAAUAGUAGCCACUACUAGAAAUUCUAGUUCAUCAUAUAGGAUUCGUAAGAAGAUUAUUAUUAUGACUUUCCUCGCUUAUACAUUCCCAAGUUAUAUAUAACGAAGACCUGGUAGACAAUAGAAUGUGAGAUUUCUAACUUAGUUUCUUUUCCCCGUUGGGAUGUGGGACUAGAGUAGAAUCACACAUUUUAUUAUCCGCCCAUUCUUGAUUAUAUCAUAACGUGUAUAAGCUAAGUGUUCAUGUAUAAUAACUCAGUUCUUAGCCAGAAUCAAAAUGGUACAGGUUCAACCAUACUCGCUCACGAGUUCAUUCUCUUUCCUUGUAAAAGAAUCAUAUCGUCACCCAGAAAUAGUCAACUGAGCAACGAACCCAUAUCCUCCAUAUCGACGCCACUAUGUUACAAGCAGCGGUAGCAGCUGCUGUGGCAGCUUUCCUUACACACAUCAACUUUGUCAAACAAGCCCGACAAAGGAGUCGACAGUUCUGAUUGUAGUACCAAACCGGGAAACCAACAAAUGACAACAGUCACAGACCUAAAAAGCUGAAAAACUAAGAAGAAUAAACAAAAGCGCCAAGCCCAAAAAGAGUGCAAGAGAUCCCAAAAACUAGCCGUGGAACAGCAACAAGUGGCAGCCCCUGCAUUCCCAGUACCGACCAGGCCAUACGAAGGAAAACUUCCGAAGUGUAACAAGUGCAACUCUCAUCAUAAUGGGGCUUGCCAUGAAAUGCAAUGUUGCAAUUGCCUAAAAAUAGGGCACCAUGCUCGUAGCUGUGGAGCACCGGCACGACCCAUUCUUCCAGUCCCUGGCAUCGGGACCAACUCCACAAACAAAAGUAGUGAUAAAGCCAAACUCUUUAGUAGGAAAUUUUUAAAGUGGAGUAAUGAGGAAGGCACUCGUGUCCACGUAACUCUGACUAAACACCUUACUCCCACCACCAAUGCUAGUACUAGCCAGUUAUGCCACCAAUGUGGUGAGGUAGGGCACUUCAAGAAGGAUUGUCCUAUAACAAAGAAUUUGGGCGCAGACGGCAUAAUUCAAAGGAUCACUGCCGCAGGGGAGACUACUCCGAACCCACGUAAAAGUAAUUAAGGCGUUUUGUUGUAACAGACUUAUAAACCAUCCAAAAAUAGUGUAAUUAGAGUCUUAUCUUUUGCGAGAUCCCGUCGGUAAAGGGAUGCUCGUGCUGCGUAUACUUGUGUUUUGUAGUAUACCUUAUUCGCAUCAAUAGUCUUGUAGUAAGUCUAAAGUACUGUAACUCUGUUGAUGGUUGCACGGUUGUGUUUUGUCUGUAAUGCCUUAUGUUCAAAUCUAAUGUCUUUAAGUUUCCUUAUGAUUCCGACAUUACCAUACAACUAGAUUCAAUUUGAUCUGCACAAUACCAGCUUCAUACGUACAUCUCUUUCUCUGUAAAUGUCUUUUUAACGAAGCCAUCAUUUCAGAACUCGGAAGUAUAUCUGCUUAGAGUACCUCAGGUUUCUUAUCCUUUCCGAAGAAGCCACAGAAAACCUCCCCAAAGUACCACUCGUACAGUACGUCAAGUUCAAUCCGAAGAUCCAUACGAUUGAUCUAUCGCUGAAGAAUGUAUACAUAGGGGUGAUAUAUAAUCAAGGUCCUACAGGUUUAGAAUUGAUGAUUCCACUUUAACUUCUUUUCCUCGUAGGGAUAAGAAUUUAAAGAAGAAUCAGUUAUUCGACUACCUUUUCAAUCUUAAUUAUAUACGACUUGUAUACACGAGACUGCGAUUGAUGAACCAUGUAUGACUUCUAAAUGUGAACUUCAGGACGGAGACUGCCCAAGACUACGAGUAAUCGCAUCAUCGUGUGAACAAACCUAGAACCCAGUACGGCUUCUGCAACCAGAUCGCCCUACAGUCUAAACACCCACAGAAAUACAAGAACAAUCUGGACAGUUUAAAGACUACUUAGCACUAGAAUAGAAAGACCAAGCUUCUCAUCCUAGAGAACUUCGGUAUUAUUCGUCAAGAAGAUAGACUGAUUGCUUUGUAAGUCCCUUAUCUUCAGAGACCUCGUCAAGAUUUCAAUUAGAAAUCAUUAUCUCUGCCUAGCAUGAAUGUGUGGGCUAAGCAAACGCAAGGAACGAUUUACCUUUUAGAACUGGACCGAGAUCCGAAUACCAGCAGUUUCGAGUGUUAGGGAAGGAUGUCCCGAAGACUACCUUCCAAACUCGAUGCGGACACUUCGAGUCCGUGGUAAUACCCCUCGUAUAGGACCAAUACGCCCAUAGUAUUCAUGAGCUUAAUGAAUAGGGUACGCCAAUCUUACUUGGAUCAGUUCGUCAUUCUCCUUGUAAUGACUUACUUAUCUACCCUCGUAGUAAGAAGGAACCCAUGGAAACAUUACCCUCAGAGAAACCUGUCGUGAAGUUCUCUAAACACGAGUUUUGGAAUUUAAGAUUCAAAUUCCUAAGACACACUAUUAGUGAUGGGAAAUUUUGAGUACUCUGUAAAUUUAUCAAAACCGUUGGGAUGUGGUCUGGUAAGGUAUCGAGUAUCCAUCCGAAGGUCGUUCAAAUAUUAGUUAUAUAUCAUGUGUAGAUAUAUAGUCAUAAAGGUUCUUCCAGUCAGUUCGAUACCAUUAGGUAGCAAGGGUAUACUUCCUUGUUCAUACGUACCAGUUACAUUACUAGUAAGCUACCGUAUGGGUAGUUUAGGAGGAUACUAAUACUAUUACUAGAAUGCAGAAUCAUACCACGAGUCAGUUCAUUCAUGAGUCUAUACAUGCUAGAUAGAGAGAGAACACACAUUACAGCUAGCACACACAGAACAUUACAGUACAUUACUGUACAUGCUAGAUAGAGAGAGAGAACACACAUUACAGCUAGCACACGUAGAACAUUACAGUACAUACAGGCUAGACAGAGAAAGAGUACACUUUACAGUAGCACAUUCAUUACAUGUACAUUCAUGCAGUUAUGUGAACCGUUUAACGGGUCAUGGCACUUCCUACCAUGACCGUUUUGUAUCCCGAAUCUCCUGAGUUUGCGUAUAGAUCUAUAUUGGAUUGACUAUCCUACACCUUGCCGCUCGCUACAGUGGGACUUGCAAGUCUACAGGUGCCAAAUGCCAUUUCUUACGGCGUCUUACGUCGUCGUUUUACUAGAGUCGGUAGCAGGAUACAGGUCAAUUACAUGUUACUUUAAAUUACAAUAGAUUUAAAGUAGUUAGUACGGUCGUAGUUAUUUGAUACUGCACCAUAGUACUAUUUCAUUUUCCCUUUAUAGUGAAUUAAGUAUAUCAACCCAUAAAAGAUAUACAGACUACAAAUAUAAUGGGAUUAAUAUACUCUGACAAAGAAUUAUACUUUAAAUAAUAAAAUAUUUAAUUAAGUAUACGUGCCUGUAUUCAUACUAAAAUCAGUGUCACUAGGAUAGUACAAAAGAAUUACGAUUGUUGGGCAGCACAAGUAGACUUAGAGACAUAUAGUCAAAACUGGGAAGAUAUAGCUUGAUCAACUAUAUUAUCCGAGGGUUGACUAGCAUGUGCCUAAAUGUAGUUGUGAGGUUGCAACAAGUCUAAAAUCUUACCAACAAUACCACAAUGAGAACAACAGAACAUAAAACUAAAAUACUAUAGGGGUAUUUGGUGUUACUAUAGGUACUUUAUACUUGAGAACUAAAAAGGAUCUUCAUUACUAAGUUGAUAGUUGCUAAGUGGAUACACUAAAGUUAUAUGUAACUAGGAU
rnacentral:lncRNA from 1 species